AGAACGAACGCUGGCGGCAUGCCUAAUACAUGCAAGUCGAACGAACUCUUCGGAGUUAGUGGCGCACGGGUGCGUAACGCGUGGGAAUCUGCCCCUUGGUUCGGAAUAACAGUUGGAAACGACUGCUAAUACCGGAUGAUGACGAAAGUCCAAAGAUUUAUCGCCAAGGGAUGAGCCCGCGUAGGAUUAGCUAGUUGGUGAGGUAAAGCUCACCAAGCAACGAU
rnacentral:rRNA from 1 species